GGUGCGCGGGUUUACGGUUCGGCGGCGAGGGGAGGGAGGGUUCGCGGGUUCGAGCCCCGCAGCGCCGGAGGACCCGGACCCGGACCCGGACCCGGACCCGCCUCCAGUCUCGGGUGGCCCCGCUUGUCCGCGCGGGAGGGGGUGCGGGAUCGGCUGGAGGCGGGUCUCGCUCAGAGACUGUCCAGUUUGACCAAUGUACAUGGCAGAGGGGCAUUGCUGGCCCAUGAUGGCAUAGAUCACAUUGGUGGAUGUGCAGGACUUUGGGUCUUGUUGCUCUCUGUUCAUGUGAGAAGGACCAGGGAAGUAAGCUGGUGAAGAAAUAAGCCCCUUAACACUGGAAAUGGCCCACCUUGAUUAUCACUACGAAAGGUCCCCCCCACCCGCUCUCCUGCUAGCAAUAGCUCAGCUUACCUGAUCACUCUCCUUACAGUCUGUAUGGUAACACCCAUUGUUUCAU